rnacentral:rRNA from 1 species
AAACUUUCAACAACGGAUCUUCUUGGUUCUGGCNUCGAUGAAGAACGCAGCGAAAUGCGGAUACGUUAAUGUGAAUUGCAGAAUUCCGUGAAUCAUCGAAUCUUUGAACGCACAUUGCGCCCGCCANCAUUCUGGNGGGCAUGCCUGUUUNAGC